UUUUUUAGAAGUUACUGUUACGAGUCAGCGCGGGUUGCGAGUUGCAGACCGCAGGAGCUCGCGCUCUGCAAACCUUCAUGGCCUCCGAGGCGGUCGUCGUUCACACCGGCGGUUGCCACUGCCGGCGCUUGCGGUGGCAGGUCGAGGCCCCCGCGAGCGUAGUGGCGUGGAUCUGCAACUGCUCCGACUGUUCCAUGCGCGCGAACACCCACUUCAUCGUCCCCGCCGCCAAGUUCAAGCUGCAGGCCGGCGCUGACGAGUUCAUCACCACCUACACCUUCGGCACGCACACGGCCAAGCACACCUUUUGCAAGACCUGCGGCAUCACCUCCUUCUACACCCCGAGGUCCAACCCGGACGGCGUGGCCAUCACCGUGGCCUGCGUCGACCCCGGUACCCUGAAGCACGUCGAGUACCGGAAGUUCGAUGGGAGGAACUGGGAGGAUUUUUUCAGGACCAGCGACAUCGCUGGAUUCUCCAAGGACGAUGCAGAGGCGGCGGAGUAGCGGGCAGAUGUUCUCUGUUGAUCUGGUGUUGUUUCGUCAUCAGUACAUCAUCUCAGUUCUGAAGAGUUUCCAAGUUUGUGUGGCAUGAUGAUCCAAACGCAGUACAGGCGCCAUAGUAAUGUGCCAGGUCAAGCUCCUUACUGCUGAGAAGGAUUUUUAGGAGCGGGUAACCUAACCUGACCUGCGUUUGAAAAGUGCUUCGGCGGCAAAAAAAAA